GGAAUCAGUCGAAGAGUGAUAUUCCCUAAUGAGGUUAGAAGAAGCCAUAAAUGGCACCACACCCAGGAGGUGCGUGGGUUACACCAGCAGAGCUCAACCCCCAGCCAAACAAACAACUCACCUCCCCUGCACAUCUACUUGCCAUGAAAUCUCACCCUCUAUGGCAACCUGCCCACACAGAGGAAGACACUGGAAAAGAAUUCUGCGCUCAAAGAACACCCUUGCAGUGCCCUUUCUCUUUUAGAAAACUCGUUUAUUCUACUGUUGGGAAUGAAGCACUUCUGUUAUAGCAAAUACAGACUCUUGUUUUAUAGCAAAAGCUGUUUAAAAGGUUACACAGAUGGUAUAUGGAGCCGAAGCUAGUAGCAAGCGUGAGUGUGUGUGCGCGCGUGUGUGUGUCUGUGUGUUUUAUAUUGGGAAGAAGGAACUAGAUGCUGCUAACGUCAUAACCAGCCCUGUUAAGGAAUGAUCCAUCCUCUUUCAAUGUUACUGUCUUCCUCAGCUCUAAUUUUUAGUUGAGGAGGAUUCUAGAGGAGAAAAGUUAAGGCAAAAUGUUAAACUGCCAUAGACUCAGCUGGAGGUUAAGGAAGGGUUAUCCAAGACCAUUCCCAUUGUCAUGACAUCCAUUCCUCCAGUACGAUGGACAACAGAUAGCAAAAGCAAGGCUUGAAAUGGGGUGUGUAAAUUCCGCGACUGCAGUGGCAUACAUUGCAACAUUUGUUGUU